rnacentral:misc_RNA from 1 species
GAAAUGCGAUAAGUAAUGUGAAUUGUAGAAUUCCAUGAAUCAUCGAAUCUUUGAACGCACAUUGCGCCCUCUGGCAUUCCGGGGGGCAUGCCUGUCCGAGCGUCAUUACGCACCCUCAAGCCCGGCUUGUGUGAUGGGCCCCGGCGUCUCGUUCGCGAGACGGGCCCGAAAGGCAGCGGCGGCGUCGACCCGAUGAGCCCGAGCGUAUGGGGACUUCUGUCACACGUUCGCGGUGCGGACCGGCGCCUGCUUUGACUUUUCUGAUUAUCCAGGUUGACCUCGGAUCAGGUAGGGAUACCCGCUGAACUUAAGC